rnacentral:rRNA from 1 species
UACGAAGGUGGCAAGCGUUACUCGGAAUUACUCGGCGUAAAGGGCAGGUAGGUGGUUCGGUAAGUCUGUUGUGUAAGCUCCCGGCUUAACUGGGAGAGGUCAACAGAAACUACCGGACUUGAGUAUAGGAGAGGGUACUGGAAUUCCCGGUGUAGCGGUGAAAUGCGCAGAGAUCGGGAGGAACACCAAUGGCGAAAGCAGGUACCUGGACUAUUACUGACACUAAGCUGCGAAAGCUAGGGGAGCAAACAGG